UUAACUAAAUCAUAAGGAAUAUGAUAAUAAUAUGUAUGUUAUAUGUUACUACGCUUUACAUACUUUUUCAACUAUGUGUUUCAGAUAUUGAAAUGAAAUAAAUACUAAUUCAUGCACAAAUGAAUACUUAAUUCUUUACAGACUAUUACCUAUUAUUAGCAAUUAUUGCUCCUACAAGAGCAAGAACUUGGUCUUGUGGGCUUUCAUUGUGAGCAUUUGGGGAUCCAUACAUUAGUGGAGACACUCUCUGCAACUAUCUUUGCAAAGAAAAUACUAAUCUUUUCACCCUUACUUAAUUUCAUUCAUACAGGCAUGGAUGAGAACCAGCAGCAAAGCAAAAUAAAGAAAACUGCCAAUGAUCAUGAGGUGCCAAUUGAGUCUGUAAAUGGAAAGCAAACAAAAUAAUGAUGGAUUGUUGAUCAAUUUUUGCUGAGUUGACUACCAUAGCACAAGAUGGAGGACCACGUGAGCAUGUAAUUAACAUGGACUGGCUGGAACAAGAAAUAGUUAUGGAAGAGCAGCUGGAAAGAGGAAGAGAAGAACAAAGAAAAAGGGAGGAGCAAACGAAAAGAGAGAAACAAAGAAGGGGAGAGGAUCAUUUUUCCGACACAUACCUAUACUUAAGUUAUCCCUUUUAAAAUUUUAAACCUAUAUAAUAUCUAUGUCACUCACUAAUUUUUCUUUUUUUCGAAUAUGUGAAAUCAUGAUCUCUUGGAAAACUACUCUAUCAGGGAUAUAAAUUUAAUGUAUAUUGUUUCUUUUUUUUUUAUUUUUAAGUGAGCUUAGUGAUCUUGUUUAUAUUAGGACAGCCAUAUUAGUACGUCAAUGUGAUUGGAGGACAUUAAAUAUUUGGAAGAGAAA